rnacentral:rRNA from 1 species
AGUGAACGCUGGCGGUAGGCCUAACACAUGCAAGUCGAACGGCAGCACAGGAGAGCUUGCUCUCUGGGUGGCGAGUGGCGGACGGGUGAGGAAUACAUCGGAAUCUACUCUGUCGUGGGGGAUAACGUAGGGAAACUUACGCUAAUACCGCAUACGACCUACGGGUGAAAGCAGGGGACCUUCGGGCCUUGCGCGAUUGAAUGAGCCGAUGUCGGAUUAGCUAGUUGGCGGGGUAAAGGCCCACCAAGGCGACGAUCCGUAGCUGGUCUGAGGGGAUGAACAGCCGCAGUGGAACAGAGACACGGUCCAGACUCCUACGGGAGGCAGCAGUGGGGAAUAUUGGACAAUGGGCGCAAGCCUGAUCCAGCCAUACCGCGUGGGUGAAGAAGGCCUUCGGGUUGUAAAGCCCUUUUGUUGGGAAAGAAAUCCAGCUGGCUAAUACCCGGUUGGGAUGACGGUACCCAAAGAAUAAGCACCGGCUAACUUCGUGCCAGCCGCCGCCGUAA